GACGAACGCUGGCGGCGUGCCUAAUACAUGCAAGUCGAACGCAUUUUCUUUCACCGUAGCUUGCUACACCGAAAGAAAGUGAGUGGCGAACGGGUGAGUAACACGUGGGUAACCUGCCCAUCAGCGGGGGAUAACACUUGGAAACAGGUGCUAAUACCGCAUAAUUUCAUUUACCGCAUGGUAGAUGGUUGAAAGGCGCUUUUGCGUCACUGAUGGAUGGACCCGCGGUGCAUUAGCUAGUUGGUGGGGUACCGGACUACCAAGGCUGGGAUGCGUAUCCGACCGGAGAGGAUGAUCAGCCACACUGAGAGUGAGACAAGGCCCAGACUCAUCCAGGAGGGAGCAGUAGGGAUUCUUCGGCAAGAGACGCAAUUCAGACCGAGCAGCGCCGCGUGAGUGAAGAAUGUUUUCGGAUUGUAAAACUCUGUUGUUAGAGAAGAACAAGGAUGAGAGUGGAAAGAUCAUCCCUUGACGGUAUCUAACCAGAAAGCCACGGCUAACUACGUG
rnacentral:rRNA from 1 species